CCCUUAGAUGUUCUGGGCUGCACGCGCGCUACACUGACAUACUCAGCAAGUUUCCUUUCCCGAAAGGGUUGGGUAAUCUUGUUAGUGUAUGUCGUGAUGGGGAUAGAAUAUUGUAAUUAUUGCUCUUUAACGAGGAAUUCCUAGUAAGCGCAAGUCAACAGCUUGCGCUGAUUACGUCCCUGCCCUUUGUACACACCGCCCGUCGCUCCUACCGAUUGGGUGAUCCGGUGAAUGGUUCGGACUCUGGCUAUGCUAGCUACUAGCUACGUCAGGGAAAGUUCUGUGAACCUUNUNACUUGUNGGAAGGAGAANUCGUANCA
rnacentral:rRNA from 1 species